UAAUAAGCGGAGGAAAAGAAACUAACAAGGAUUCCCCCAGUAAUGGCGAAUGAAGCGGGAACAGCUCAAAUUUGAAAUCUCCGUCGCCUGCGACGCGAAUUGUAGUUUCUAGAAGCACUUUCUAGGCGCUACCGGCGUCGUCCAAGUUGCUUGGAACAGCACGUCAUAGAGGGUGACAACCCCGUCUGUGGCGGUGCCGGCCGCCGACGAUGCGCUUUCGA
rnacentral:rRNA from 1 species